CGCUCCGUUAAAAAGGCGCAACACAGGACUGAAGAAAAACAUCGAAGUUGACUCGGGGUAGAAAUUCAAGCAAACUCAAUCUUUAUCACCCUUUAUUUCCCCCUCCCAGUGAUAUUUAAAGCCGCCAACCAUGCCAACGGUGCUUUUGGUGGACGUGUCUCUGUCAAUGAGUCGUGGAGAGGAGGAGGAUGAGGAAAAAGAAGGCGGAGAAGAGGGACCAUUACUUCGCAGGGACUUGGCGGCUCAUGGGUGUAAUAUUAUCCUCGACCACUUCAUCCAGCACUGCAAGCUUGAGUUCGUGUCCCUGAUCGUCUUCUCGUCAACGUACAAAGUGCUGAUGCCGUUCACGAGGGACUUUGAGGCAAUCAAGAACGCCCUCACCCUUGCUGACGAAUGUGAUCGCACCAACCUGGAGGUGGGACUUGUUGGCGCGGCUCAGCACAUCCUGGAGGAGUGGGGCAACGGAACACCCUGCCAGAUUGUUUUGGUGACUGAUGGCAAUGCUGGCACCGGGCAGCACCACCUCCAGAAGACCUUGAUGGCCUCACACUCCCGUGGGGCCUCACAGUUCCCUCUCCCAUUCCCCUUCCCUGCCAAACUCAACAUAAUCUGCAUAGCAAACCCUGAUGAACCGUGCCUGCAGACAUCUCGACCUAUCUACCAAAGGCUGAUUGAGCUGAAUGGCGAGGGAGACAUUAUGAUCCCUGAAGGCAAGCUUUCCAGAAAGUCAGUGACGGAGAUAUUCGAGCAAGUCAUCAAGAAUAACUUCUCCUCCUACUCCGGCGUGCUUCACUGUGGCAACCUCUCAGCCCCUAUCACUCUCUCUCCACCCCCACAGCCUUACUGCCGCCACCAUGACUUUGAGGUGAUACGCAUUAGUGUGGACACAGCCAUUCAUGUCCUGGGCUUCCUCAACACUGGAGAUGUGUCCUCCCCACCGGCCUUCUCCAGACACUUGGUGCUACCUCUCUCAGCAAAAGGUGACUUGGUAAUGCUGCCCAAGAGUGACCCAGGGAGUGACGAGGAGGGUGGUGGUGGAGGUGGUGGUGCGGGUACCGGAGGCAGCGAUGAGGGCAAGGUACCCUCAUUCUGUGUCCUGCUCCAUGGUGGGCUGAAGCGUGAGAACAUGGUGGCGUUGUGUCAGGUGGGGGAGAAGUGGUUCGGGAUCUUAUACUCCUGGGCAGACAACAAAAAGAAAUCCAACUUAAUGCUCUCCCUCUUUGUGCCUGGCACAGAUGUCAUACCAUGGAUGGGCCAGCUGUCAAACCUUGGGCCAGCCUCCCAGAUGUCUGUUAACCCCUAUGGCUCUGCAGAUAACUCUUCUCCAUUCCCCAUCAAGGUUCAUGAGAAGAAAAGCUACGCCCUCAACUCUGUGGUGUGGGUGCGGCAGGGAGGGUUGCAGUCAGACAUCCAGAAGAUACUGAGACAUGCCCGCAAGCUGCCAGACAAGACCCAGAGCUUCUAUAAGGAGCUGAACCGUGUGCGCCGUGCUGCCCUCUCCUAUGGGUUUGGGGAGCUUCUGGAGGGCCUGGCCAGCGUGUUGGAGCGGGAGUGUACGCUGCUGCCCUCCUCGGCCCACCCUGAGGCAGCCAUACAGCUGCAGCACGCCUACGAGGCUUUGCGCAACCACGACAAGAAGGACACACGCCAGAACAUUGUGCCCCUCAAGACCACCUACUCCGGGAAUGACUGAUAUUUGCAGGAGUCUGGCCAACCUUUAGUAUGUGAUAAUGAAGCCUUAGCAAGACAGUGGCCAAAAGGUUUCGGUCACCCAUCACAUCUUCAGCUUCCUUUGCAUUCAGGAGCAAGAGAACCUGAAAGCAACAAAACAGCAUUCAUUAGAGUACUCAGUGGUAGUACUAGUGCCCAGUCAAGCACAAAACAAUGUUGACAGGGUUAGAUAGGUACUGUUGUACGGCGAACACACAUAAUAAUUAGCACUGUGCAUCUGGAAAACAAGGCCACACAGUUUGCACUAAGGAUGGUGGGUCAUACUGACCGAUGAAGGAUCAGGCAAAGCAGUACAAACUAAUUCAUAUCAUUUAAGUGACUACAAAACUUGUCAAGUUCUGUCCAAACUUAGCUCA